GACGAACGCUGGCGGCGUGCCUAAUACAUGCAAGUUGAGCGAUGAAGCUUGGUGCUUGCACCAAUUUGAAGAGCAGCGAACGGGUGAGUAACGCGUGGGGAAUCUGCCUUUGAGCGGGGGACAACAUUUGGAAACGAAUGCUAAUACCGCAUAACAACUUUAAACAUAAGUUUUAAGUUUGAAAGAUGCAAUUGCAUCACUCAAAGAUGAUCCCGCGUUGUAUUAGCUAGUUGGUGAGGUAAAGGCUCACCAAGGCGAUGAUACAUAGCCGACCUGAGAGGGUGAUCGGCCAACUUGGGACUGAGAAACGGCCCAAACUCCUACGGGAGGGAGCAGUAGGGAAUCUUCGGCAAUGGACGAAAGUCUGACCGAGGAACGCCGGGGGAGUGAAGAAGGUUUCCGGAUCGUAAAACUCUGUUGGUAGAGAAGAACGUUGGUGAGAGUGGAAAGCUCAUCAAGUGACGGUAACUACCCAGAAAGGGACGGCUAACUACGUG
rnacentral:rRNA from 1 species